UAGGGAAUAUUGGUCAAUGGGCGGAAGCCUGAACCAGCCAUGCCGCGUGCAGGAAGACGGCCUUCUGGGUUGUAAACUGCUUUUAUCAGGGAACAAAUAGUCCAUGCGUGGGAAGUUGCGUGUACCUGAUGAAUAAGCACCGGCUAACUCCGUGCCAGCAGCCGCGGUAAUACGGAGGGUGCAAGCGUUGUCCGGAUUUAUUGGGUUUAAAGGGUGCGUAGGCGGAUGAUUAAGUCAGUGGUGAAAUCCUGCAGCUCAACUGUAGAUGUGCCAUUGAUACUGAUUAUCUUGAGUACAGAUGAGGUAGGCGGAAUUUAUGGUGUAGCGGUGAAAUGCAUAGAUACCAUAAAGAACACCGAUAGCGAAGGCAGCUUACUGGACUGUAACUGACGCUGAUGCACGAAAGCGUGGGGAGCGAACAGGAUUAGAUACCCCCGUAGUCC
rnacentral:rRNA from 1 species